GAUGAACGCUGGCGGCGUGCCUAAUACAUGCAAGUCGAGCGAACAGAUAAGGAGCUUGCUCCUUUGACGUUAGCGGCGGACGGGUGAGUAACACGUGGGUAACCUACCUAUAAGACUGGGAUAACUUCGGGAAACCGGAGCUAAUACUGGAUAAUAUUUCGAACCGCAUGGUUCGAUAGUGAAAGAUGGUUUUGCUAUCACUUAUAGAUGGACCCGCGCCGUAUUAGCUAGUUGGUAAGGUAACGGCUUACCAAGGCGACGAUACGUAGCCGACCUGAGAGGGUGAUCGGCCACACUGGAACUGAGACACGGUCCAGACUCCUACGGGAGGCAGCAGUAGGGAAUCUUCCGCAAUGGGCGAAAGCCUGACGGAGCAACGCCGCGUGAGUGAUGAAGGUCUUCGGAUCGUAAAACUCUGUUAUUAGGGAAGAACAUACGUGUAAGUAACUGUGCACGUCUUGACGGUACCUAAUCAGAAAGCCACGGCUAACUACGUG
rnacentral:rRNA from 1 species